GAUGAACGCUGGCGGCGUGCCUAAUACAUGCAAGUCGAGCGAACAGACGAGGAGCUUGCUCCUCUGACGUUAGCGGCGGACGGGUGAGUAACACGUGGAUAACCUACCUAUAAGACUGGGAUAACUUCGGGAAACCGGAGCUAAUACCGGAUAAUAUAUUGAACCGCAUGGUUCAAUAGUGAAAGACGGUUUUGCUGUCACUUAUAGAUGGAUCCGCGCCGCAUUAGCUAGUUGGUAAGGUAACGGCUUACCAAGGCAACGAUGCGUAGCCGACCUGAAAGGGUGAUCGGCCACACUGGAACUGAGACACGGUCCAGACUCCUAAGGGAGGCAGCAGUAGGGAAUCUUCCGCAAUGGGCGAAAGCUUGACGGAGCAACGCCGCGUGAGUGAGGAAGGUCUUCGGAUCGUAAAACUCUGUAAUUAGGGAAGAACAAAUGUGUAAGUAACUAUGCACGUCUUGACGGUACCUAAUCAGAAAGCCACGGCUAACUACGUG
rnacentral:rRNA from 1 species